rnacentral:rRNA from 1 species
ACGGGAGGCAGCAGUGGGGAAUAUUGCACAAUGGGGGAAACCCUGAUGCAGCAACGCCGCGUGAGUGAUGAAGUAUUUCGGUAUGUAAAGCUCUAUCAGCAGGGAAGAAAUUGACGGUACCUGACUAAGAAGCCCCGGCUAACUACGUGCCAGCAGCCGCGGUAAUACGUAGGGGGCAAGCGUUAUCCGGAUUUACUGGGUGUAAAGGGAGCGUAGACGGCAAGGCAAGUCAGAAGUGAAAGCACAGGGCUCAACCCUGUAACUGCUUUUGAAACUGUUUAGCUAGAGUGUCGGAGAGGUAAGUGGAAUUCCUAGUGUAGCGGUGAAAUGCGUAGAUAUUAGGAGGAACACCAGAGGCGAAGGCGGCUUACUGGACGAUUACUGACGUUGAGGCUCGAAAGCGUGGGGAGCAAACAGGAUUAGAUACCCUGGUA